rnacentral:RNase_P_RNA from 1 species
CAGGAGGACCGGGCGGUCGCUGCCGACGGGUUCGCGCAAGCGAAGUUCGCCGGGGGAGGAAAGUCCGAACUCCGCAGGGCAGUGUGCCGGAUAACGUCCGGGACGUGAGCGUCAAGGCUCAUGGACGGCCAGUGCCACAGAAAAGAUACCGCCUCGGCUACCCCUCCCCCGAUUCUUCGGAACCGGUUGAGGGCAACCCUGAAGCAGCUUGCUGCUUUGGCGCCGGGGUAAGGGUGAAAUGGUGCGGUAAGAGCGCACCGCUCGCGCCCGUAAGGGCCGGGGUCAAGGUAAACCCCACACGGAGCAAGACCAAAUAGGGAGGGAAGCGCAAGCCAUAGAGCCAGGCAAGCGCUGCGCACCGGCCCGGUGCGCCCAGGCGGCUCGAGCCAUUGCCGAAACCUCCGGGUAGGUCGCUGAUGAACGUCCGCGGCAACGCGGCGUCUAGAGGAAUGACCGCACACGACAGAAUUCGGCUUACAGGAUCUUCCUGCCGA